CACAAUUCUUUUUAAGACUGGGUAGGUAGAGAAAAACUAGGGAGGUAUAGAAGGUGAUGGAGCUGAACCAAAGUGAGGGGAUAGUCAAAGCAAAGAGGCCCAUGACAAAGCCGGAGAAGGUGGUGGAGAUGAACUCAGAUGAUCAGAAAGCGAUUCGAGCCAAGACAGAGUCAAGGGUCACACCAAAGAAUGGGAGUACUGUAAUUCCAGCAAAGAGGAGGUUAGUUAAAACAAUGAUGCUUGAUUCGAUUGUCAAAUCUAUUGCCUCUCUUCUCCGUUCUCUUUGUUCCUCUGCCUCUGAAGUCCCCAAGGCCGCCCUAUCUGAAAAGUCCAGCAGCAGCUCAAAGUUGGUGCCACUUCCACCUCCCAAUUCAUCAAAUAACAAGUUACAAGAGUAACAUAUUUCCAAAUAUAAUGUAGCACUGGUCUUCUGGAACGAUUUCAAGCCUCCGUUUGAUCUUUUCUUUGUCUUCCGCUCCUUCUUUUGGUGGUAAUUAAACGAUGUCAUGUACA